CCAUGGCCCUUUUGGGGUCCCCCGUGUCCCUAUUGAAGGUCCCCAUGCCCUUAUUAGGGUCCCCCGUGUCCCUUUUGGGGUCCCCCGUGUCCCUUUUGGGGUCCCCCAUGUCCCUUUUGGAGUCUCCCGUGUCCCUACAGGGGGUUCCCGUGUCCCUUUUGGGGUCUCCCGUGUCCCUAUUGGGGGUUGCCAUGUCCCCAUUGGGAUCCCUGUGUUCCUAUUGGGGGUUGCCAUGGCCCUGGUGGGCAUCCCUGUGUCCCUAUUGGGGUCUCUAUGUCCCUAUUAGGGGUCCCUAUGCCCCUGUUGGGGGUUGCCAUAUCCCUAUUGGGGUCCCUGUGUUCCCAUUGGAGGCUGCCAUGUCCCUGAUCAUUGUCCCCACGUCCCUUUUGGGGUCCUCAUGUCCCUCUUUGAGUCUCUGUCCCCCUAUCAGGGGUCCCUGUGUCCCUGUUGGGGUCCCUGUGUAUGUAUUGGGGUCUCCUAUGACCCUACUGGGAUCUCCUAUGUCCCUAUUAGGGGUUGCCAUGUCCCCAUUGGGGUCCCUGUGUUCCGAGUGGGGGGUCCCCAUGUCCCCAUUGGGGUCCCUGUAUACAGAUUGGGGUCUCUGUGUCCCUGUAGGAGGUCCCCAUGUCCCUAAUGGGGUUCCUAUGUCUCUCUUAGGGGUUGCCGUGUCUCCAUUGGGGUCCCCCAUGUCCCCACAGGAGCCCCUGUGUUCCUCUUGGGGUCCUCAUGUCCCUAUUGGAGGUCCCCUACAUCUCCAUCGGGGUCCCCGUGUCCCUUUUGGGGGUUGCCAUGUCCCUGGUAGGCGUCCCAAUGUCCCUAGAGGGGAAGAUCCCCCCCCCCUUGUCCUUCUUGGGGUCUCCUGUGAUCCUAUUAGAGGUCCCCAUGUCCCUAGUGGGUGUUCCUAUAUCCUUAUUGGGGUCCCCGUGUUCCUGUGGGGGUUUUCAUGGCCCUGUUGAGUGUCUUUGUGUCCCUAUUGGGGCUCUCCUAUGUCUCUAUUGGGGUUCCCCUUUCCCUCUUGGGGUCUUCAUGUCCCUCUUGGGGUCCUCUUGUUCCUGUUGGGGUCUCUACAUCCCUAAUGGGAUCCUCAUGUCCCCAUAGGGUUUCCAUUGGGCUUCUCAUGUCCUUAUUGAACGUUUCCCAUGUCCCUAGUGGGGUCCCAGUGUCCCUGUGGGGAACCCCACAUCCCCAUUGGGUUCCUAUUGGGGUCCUCAUCCUAACUGAAGGACCCCAGUGUCCCUGUUGGGGUC
rnacentral:lncRNA from 1 species